UCCCUCGCUGUCGCUUUAACUGGCUUUGUUGGGGGCCGCUAGACGUGCUUUAUGCACUUCCUUAACAUGGUGACAUCACCAUGUUGCGUCCUUCACAAUGACCUCCGCGGAGCACUGGUAAAGUCGGGGAACAUACCGAGGACAACUAGCAGGGCAGGAAAUGGGAAAAGAGAAAAAUCGGACAGUAAAAGUAAUCAAGUCAAUUCUUUGUUUUAGUUAUGGCUCAUUUAAUUACUAGUCAACUGUAAAGCCCAGUGCGAGUACCAAUCCACAUCCCGCCGCACAGACGUAACAGACGUGACUUCCUUCGCCCAUGAAAUAAUUAUGAGAUAGCACGGCGACGGCGCUUAGUCAUACGAAACGGAUGCUCGGAGACGCGAGGACGCAUCCUGCCUAGCGUCAGACGUUCCACAAUCUCUCAUCUUCUAGCAGACCAAAAAAAAAAAAGACGCUCAAGCCAACCACGAGAGGCUCAUGCUCUUGCAGCUAUGACUAUAACACCCUCUCACUGCCAGGUGAGCCACACCUAAAGGUCUCCUGUGGGGUCAUGGAAAGAAUGUGUCACUCAACCAAGCGAAAGCAAAGAUCAUGUACGUGGCGGCUGGCUAAGCGACCCCUUGUUCCCAGUCAACCCCCGGGAAUGAACCGCGAUGACCCCGCGACCAGAGCGACCGAGGAAUUGACUAAGUUUGACCCGUUUCCAUCUCUGCACCACUUCCCACAUACGGUGUCUUCUUCUCACAUGCAUCACGGGGCUGGUGCGUUCUUCCCUCCGCGUGUCAUCUCUGUUGGAAGUUGUCCCGGUUUCGCUCUCUGUGGCCGGUGCACAUCCCUGACGGUGAAUCAGCGGAGUCGUCGCGCGGCCCAGGCGUUUUCCCCUGGAAACUGACAAAGCCUUGAGGCAAUGCAGAGUUUCCCGGCCGUAGGAAACUCUGCAUGUGAUCCAACAGUAAUUACCAGCCUGACCGGGCUUUAUUGCUCCUAAUGGUUAAUAAAUCAUUUGCUAGUGUUGUUAUAGUUUUUCCUUUAGAAGGCUAUGAAGAACUUAUAACGCCUGUGUGCUGUUGUAAUGUUUGUUAGUCAUUUAAAACGGGUCAAAAGUUCAUCACUUUCUAAUAAUCCAUCAAGUCUGCAGUUAUAAGUCAUUAAUAAACGGUCACUGGUUAACACAUUGCUGAAUUAAAGGCUUAAUCAGUGCUUUGCUUAACCCAAAGUUUGUUAUGAAUGACUUAUUACUUCAUCUAUAAAGCGCUCACGAAGGAUUUAAUGUUUAUUAACAAAACCUUUGAAAUGCAGCUUAUAAACUCACAAUUGCUUUAAUUCCUUCCACUUUUUUUGCUUUAUUUUGGUCAUUUUUCAGCUCAGAUCCACGUGAACUUGACUUCU